rnacentral:rRNA from 1 species
CGACCGCUGGCGGCGUGCCUAAUACAUGCAAGUCGAGCGGACGAAUCGAAAGCUUGCUUUUGAUUCGUUAGCGGCGGACGGGUGAGUAACACGUGGGCAACCUGCCCUGUAGACGGGGAUAACACCGAGAAAUCGGUGCUAAUACCGGAUAACACGAAAUGUCGCAUGACGUUUCGUUGAAAGACGGCGCAAGCUGUCGCUACAGGAUGGGCCCGCGGCGCAUUAGCUAGUUGGUGAGGUAACGGCUCACCAAGGCGACGAUGCGUAGCCGACCUGAGAGGGUGAUCGGCCACACUGGGACUGAGACACGGCCCAGACUCCUACGGGAGGCAGCAGUAGGGAAUCUUCCGCAAUGGACGAAAGUCUGACAGAGCAACGCCGCGUGAGCGAAGAAGGCCUUCGGGUCGUAAAGCUCUGUUGUUAGGGAAGAACAAGUAACGCAGUAACUGGCGUUACCGUGACGGUACCUAACGAGAAAGCCACGGCUAACUACGUG